GGAUGGAAAUAAUGCUGCAGAAGCCAUGAAGAAUAGGGAUUCGGAUAUUUUAAGAGCCUAAAUAUUAGGAUGUGAUAAUGAUGGCAAUAAGUACUGGUACUUUUAUGGAACACGAUUAUACAAAGAACAACCUGCCCUGGAAAAAAAAUUAAAUUGGACAGCAGAAAGUGAGGAGGUACAAAGCGAGAUCGUCCUCGAAGAAUCCCUUGAAAGUCUGAAGGAGAAAGAGCCAAAUUUUGGUGCAUUAUGUGAAAUUGAAGUUUACACUUAUUAUUUCUCCCGAGAAGCUGCUGUGGAAUACAUAAACUGUGGAAAGACAAUUUAUUCACGAGUUGACAGGAUUUGUUAGAAUUACCAAGGAGGAGAUUUUUUUUCGAAACGAAAAUUUACCACUUUUGUGAAAUGCCGGUUGACCUGUUCUUUUCCAAGAAAUUAUCCCAUUUACUUUAACGAACUUCAAAGAGAAAAGGAAGAAGUAUUAAUUUACCACACUUGAGUAAGUAUUUGCUGUACCAUUAUUCUUCAUUGCAUAUAAAGAGUCAAUAUUAAAUCAUUUAGACACCCCAAAAGUGGCUCUAUUUUGUAAACCUAUAAAAGGUCCUACUAAAUAAAAAUAAAUAUUUGACCAGAAUAUAAAAUCAUUCUACAACCUAUUAUUACGAAACUUAAACACCUCAGUCUCGGCCUGAUAUCGAAAGCCCUUCUAAGACCAUUGUAUAAAAAUAUAUGGACCAUUAUAAACUUGCAAUCAAGGACCAGUUUCGUAUUUAAAUCUAUUGAAC